UACGUAGGGGGCAAGCGUUGUCCGGAAUUAUUGGGCGUAAAGAGCGUGUAGGCGGCCAGAUAAGUCCGCUGUGAAAUCUCGAGGCUCAACUUCGAGCUGUCGGUGGAAACUAUCUGGCUAGAGUCCGGAAGAGGAGAAUGGAAUUCCUGGUGUAGCGGUGAAAUGCGCAGAUAUCAGGAGGAACACCAAUGGCGAAGGCAGCUCGCUGGGACGGUACUGACGCUGAGGAGCGAAAGCAUGGGGAGCGAACAGG
rnacentral:rRNA from 1 species